rnacentral:rRNA from 1 species
GAUGAAUGCUGGCGGCGUGCUUAACACAUGCAAGUCGAGCGGUAAGGCCCCUUCGGGGGUACACGAGCGGCGGACGGCUGAGUAACGCGUGGGAACAUGCCCCAAAGUGAGGAAUAAGCUCCAGAAAUGGAGUCUAAUGCCGCAUAUGAUCUUCGGAUUAAAGGAUUUAUCCGCUUUGGGAGUGGCCUGCGUACGAUUAG